rnacentral:rRNA from 1 species
AGCAGCCGCGGUAAUUCCAGCUCCAAUAGCGUAUAUUAAAGUUGUUGUGGUUAAAAAGCUCGUAGUUGAACCUUAGGCCUGGCUGGCCGGUCCGCCUCACCGCGUGUACUGGUCCGGCCGGGCCUUUCCCUCUGUGGAACCCCAUGCCCUUCACUGGGUGUGGCGGGGAAACAGGACUUUUACUGUGAAAAAAUUAGAGUGCUCCAGGCAGGCCUAUGCUCGAAUACAUUAGCAUGGAAUAAUAGAAUAGGACGUGUGGUUCUAUUUUGUUGGUUUCUAGGACCGCCGUAAUGAUUAAUAGGGACAGUCGGGGGCAUCAGUAUUCAAUUGUCAGAGGUGAAAUUCUUGGAUUUAUUGAAGACUAACUACUGCGAAAGCAUUUGCCAAGGAUGUUUUCAUUAAUCAGGAACGAAAGUUAGGGGAUCGAAGACGAUCAGAUACCGUCGUAGUCUUAACCAUAAACUAUGCCGACUAGGGAUCGGACGGUGUUAUUUUUGA